rnacentral:rRNA from 1 species
CGCCUUGCCAGCCCGCUCAGAACUUAAAGAAUGACGGGACCCCGCACAAGCGGUGGAUCAUGUUGUUUAAUUCGAUGAUACGCGAAGAACCUUACCAGGUCUUGACAUCCCCCGCGAUGCUUUAGAGAUAAAGCGGAGGUAUUCGGGGAGACAGGUGGUGCAUGGUUGUCGUCAGCUCGUGUCGUGAGAUGUUGGGUUAAGUCCCGCAACGAGCGCAACCCCUUAUUGCUAGUUACCAUCAUUAAGUUGGGGACUCUAGCGAGACUGCCAGUGAUAAACUGGAGGAAGGUGGGGAUGACGUCAAAUCAUCAUGCCCCUUAUGACCUGGGCUACAAACGUGAUACAAUGGCUGGAACAAAGGGAUGCGAAGCAGUGAUGUGGAGCGAAACCCAUAAAAACAGUCUCAGUUCGGAUUGAAGUCUGCAACUCGACUUCAUGAAGUCGGAAUCGCUAGUAAUCGCGGAUCAGAACGCCGCGGUGAAUACGUUCUCGGGGUUU